rnacentral:rRNA from 1 species
AUUGAACGCUGGCGGCAGGCCUAACACAUGCAAGUCGAGCGGAGCGGCGAACGGGUGAGUAAUGCCUAGGAAUCUGCCUGGUAGUGGGGGAUACCGUCCGGAAACGGGCGCUAAUACCGCAUUCUAUCAGAUGAGCCUAGGUCGGAUUCGCUAGUUGGUGGGGUAACGGCCUACCAAGGCGACGAUCCGUAACUGGUCUCAGAGGAUGAUCCGUCACACUGGAACUGAGACACGGUCCAGACGCCUACGGGAGGCAGCAGUGGGGAAUAUUGGACAAUGGGCGAAAGCCUGACCCAGCAAUGCCGCGUGAGUGAAGAAGGUCUUCGGAUUGUAAAGCACUUUAAGUUGGGAGGCGUUACCAAAAGAAUAAGCACCGGCUAACUGCGUGCCAGCAGCCGCGGUAAUAC